AGCGAACGCUGGCGGCAGGCCUAACACAUGCAAGUCGAACGAACCCUCCGGGGGUAGUGGCGGACGGGGGAGGAACACGUGGGAACGUGCCUUUAGGCACGGAAUAACUCAGGGAAACGUGUGCUAAUACAGAAAGAGUUCUUCGGGGGCAAGAUUUAACGUAGUUAGAGCGGCACGCGUCGGAUUAGCUAGUUGGGUGAGGUAAUGGCUCAGCAAGGCGACGAUCAGUAGCUGGUCUGAGAGGAUGAUCAGACACAUUGGGACUGAGACACGGCCCAAACUCCUACGGGAGGCAGCAGUGGGGAAUCUUGCGCAAUGGGCGAAAGCCUGACGCAGCCAUGCCGCGUGAAUGAUGAAGGUCUUAGGAUUGUAAAAUUCUUUCACCGGGGACGAUAAUGACGGUACCCGGAGAAGAAGCCCCGGCUAACUUCGUG
rnacentral:rRNA from 1 species